rnacentral:misc_RNA from 1 species
UUUCCGUAGGUGAGCCUGCGGAAGGAUCGUUAACGAGUUAGGAUCUUCCAGGCCCGACCUCCCAACCAUCUGUUUAUUGAACCUCUGUUGCUUCGGCGGGCCCGUCGCACCGCCGGCGGGGGAGCCGCGGCGAGGCACCCUGUGGCCAGCGUCCGCCGAUGGCCAACCUCAAACCUCUGAAUGAAUAGUGUCAUGAUGUCUAAGUCGAUGAUCAAAUUAAAGCAAAACUUUCAACAACGGAUCUCUUGGUUCUG